rnacentral:rRNA from 1 species
UAGAUGCGAGAGUAGAGCAUAUCAAUAAGCGGAGGAAAAGAAACUAACAAGGAUUCCCCUUAGUAACGGCGAGUGAAGCGGGAAGAGCUCAAAUUUGAAAUCUUCAAGGUUCUACCUUGACGAAUUGUAGUUUAUAGAAGUGUUUUCUGUUAGUGGAGUGGCAAAAGUUCUUUGGAAUAGGACAUCAUAGAGGGUGAGAAUCCCGUAUUUGGUCAUUCCUCCUAGCGUUGUGAUACACUUUCAACGAGUCGGAUUGUUUGGGAAUGCAGUCCAAAAUGGGUGGUAAAUUUCAUCUAAAGCUAAAUAUUGGCGAGAGACCGAUAGCGAACAAGUACCGUGAGGGAAAGAUGAAAAGAACUUUGAAAAGAGAGUUAAACAGUACGUGAAAUUGUCAAAAGGGAAGCGUUUGACACCAGUGUUGUUUUUCCGAAAAUCAAUUACGAAUGUUUUAUUUUUGAGGAGUUAUGACUUCAUCGGCUUGCUCCUUUCUUUAUGAAACUUUCUUAAUGCACUUUUCGGUUAACAAGUCAACAUCAAUUUCUUUUGUUGUAAAAGGGUAUGAGGAAGGUGGCUUUCUUUUCGGAGAAAGUGUUUAUAGCCUUGUGCCUCUGCAAUCGGAGAGAUUGAGGUCUGCAGCGUAGAUCCUUCGGGGUUAGAUACGUUUGUGCUAAGUUAUAGCUUUUCACAGACAACUUGUUGACUAUGUUUAGUCUUGUAGCUUACUCGCUUAUGCUAUUUUACCUACGCUUAGGAUGUUGACGAGACUGUCGAUCUC